ACUGACCGCUGGCGGCAGGCUUAAUACAUGCAAGUCGAGUUAGCGGCGGAUGGGUGGGUAGUGUCUGGGAAAGUGCCCGAUGGAGGGGGUCAAGUACUGGAAACGGUAGCUAAUACCGCAUACCACUAGAUGUGCCCAGAUGGGAUUAGCUAGUAGGUGGGGUAAUGGCUCACCUAGGCGACGAUCCCUAGCUGGUCUGAGAGGAUGACCAUCCUUACUAGAACUGAGAGACGGUCCAGACUCCUACGGGACGCAGCAGUGGGGAAUAUUGGACCAUCGGCGCGAGCCUGAUGCAGGCAUGCCGCGUGCGGGAAGAUGGCCUUCGGGUUGUAAAGCACGUGCAGCGAGGCGGCGUUACUCGCAGAAGAAGCGCCGGCCAACUCCGGGCCAGCAGCCGCGGUAAUAC
rnacentral:rRNA from 1 species